rnacentral:rRNA from 1 species
UACGGGGGGGGCAAGCGUUGUUCGGAAUUACUGGGCGUAAAGGGCUCGUAGGCGGCCAACUAAGUCAGACGUGAAAUCCCUCGGCUUAACCGGGGAACUGCGUCUGAUACUGGAUGGCUUGAGGUUGGGAGAGGGAUGCGGAAUUCCAGGUGUAGCGGUGAAAUGCGUAGAUAUCUGGAGGAACACCGGUGGCGAAGGCGGCAUCCUGGACCAAUUCUGACGCUGAGGAGCGAAAGCCAGGGGAGCAAAACGGGG